rnacentral:SRP_RNA from 1 species
GCCGGGUGUGGUGGCUCACGCCUGUAAUCCCAGCACUUUGGGAGGCUGAGGCGGGGGGAUCACUUGAGGUCAGGAGUUCGAGACCAGCCUGGUCAACAUAGCGAAACCCUGUCUCUA